ensembl:lncRNA
UAGCAAUCAACCCCUGCUGUGAGUGCCGUUAUAUGAUGGCCAGAGGUCAAAGGAAUGCCUGAAAUAUUUCUGAGAUUGGACAGUGUGUUAUUUUUAGAGUUGUGGAAUGAGAGGGGAAAAAGUUGAGAGCUUUACAAGUAGGUCAGCUGCAGCAUUGCUUCAUAUCUCUUUCAGUAUUAUUACCAUCCUGCAGCCCAACUUUUAAUCCAGCUUGAGCUGCACCAAUUGCACGUUCACGGACACUUUUAUUGUAGUCGAAACUGCUUACAGAACCAAAACUGAGCUUCAGCAAAUACCUGAAAGACUUUCAGAAGGGAACGAUGGCCAACAGUGCUCUGUGGGCUUGUGCUGCAUUCCCAGGCUGCGUGUUGCUGACGGCGUUCUGAUGCUGCUGUGUUCUUCUCCAGGAGGAUUAGACACUUCCUGAAUUACAUGUUGUCGGUCAUGAGGAGAUUUGUUUGCAUCUGAAUACUCUCAUGUUCAGAACGAGCAAUAAGAUGGUGAGUAUUAUUUCCUUUAUUCAGAUAACGGCAUAAAACGACAAAUCAAUCGUUCUUGGAUCUGCCUCUCCACACAAAAAAAUAUCAACUAUUGUGAGUGUUUCAAUUGCGGGAACAUGAUGUAUUGUUUCUUUGUAGCAAUGAGCUUAGUAAUUGUAAUGAGUACGUAUUAAUUCCCCAAUGAACGUCAAAUAUUUAGAUUUACCCCUUAAUUAAAAUGUGUACUUGAAUGCUUAUCUCCUCUGCUAUGUUACCUCUACUGUGAACAAUUAGGAUUUUUUUUUCUUUUUUUUAAAGACACUCACUUCCAUAAGCUAAUUGUUUUCUCUUUUUUUCAGGGAGACUUUAUCAGAACUGGCCACUAAUUAACAGAAAUCACAGUAACUAUUGCAUAGGUAGCUUGUUAAUUAAUGGUCUAAGAUGCAAUUAAAUUUCAGAUGCACAUCCUAAUUUAUUAACCAACUUCUCUUAAUCCUGUGUAAUUUCAGAGGGAUCUUGUUAAAUCAAAAAGCGGAGUGAUCAGAGUGGCAAAGUGCUAAUUAAGCUCUGAAUGGGGGGCUGCAUCAACAGAGCACAGGGAUGAUCCUUCGCUGUCUGUUUACAUCGCUGCGGUGCAUUCUGGGAGGUCACCCCACAACCUGAGGCAGGCGUACUAUUCUGGUGCUCCCGGGAAAAAAAAUGUGUAAGACAGAUAAAACCAGCAGAUCUAAAUCCCUUUUGCUCUGUGUUUACGGACACAGAUGGCUUUAUCUACACUAAUGUCAUCAACAUUUAAAGCAGGAAACUUUAUUUCCAAGAACUUAAGCAUUUCCACACAAUAUGACGAUGCUGAGUAAUUUGUUGCUCUCUUUAAUGUCUCAUUUGUUUCAUUUAGACAGAAAUAUGGCAAUUGAGUCUGAAUUUUUUCUCCUCCUCUAGAGUUUCAAAAGACA